rnacentral:rRNA from 1 species
CCUUGUCGUUAGUUGCUACGAAAGGCCACUCUAAUGAGACUGCCGGUCGACAAACCGGAGGAAGGUGCGGAUACACGUCAAGUCCUCAUGGCCCGGAUGGGUAGGGCUUCACACGUCAUACAAUGGUGACAUACAGAAGGCCGCCAACCCGCGAGGGGGAGCUGAUCCCAGAAAAUGUCUCGUAAUCCGGAUUGUAGUCUGCCAAUCGACUAAAUAAAGUUGGGAUCGCGAGUAAUCGCCGAUCAGCAUGUCGCGGUCAAUGGUUGCCCGGGUCUUGUACACACCGUCCGUCACACUAUGGGAGCGGGUUCUACCAGAAGUAGGUAACCUAACCGUAUGGACGGCGCCUACCACGGUGNGAUUCGUGACUGGGGUGAAGUC